ACUAACGCUGGCGGCGUGCCUAAUACAUGCAAGUCGAACGGUCAUAUGUUCGUAGCAAUAUGGAUAUAUGAUAGUGGCGAACGGGUGAGUAACACGUGGAAAAUCUACCUUCGAGUGGGGGAUAACUCCGGGAAACUGGGGCUAAUACCGCAUAACAUCACGUGACGGCAUCGUCCUGUGAUCAACGACGCAAGUCGCUCGAAGAUGAAUCCGCGUCCCAUCAGCUUGUUGGCGGGGUAAUGGCCCACCAAGGCUUUGACGGGUAGCCGGCUUGAGAGAGCGAACGGCCACAAGGGGACUGAGACACGGCCCCUACUCCUACGGGAGGCAGCAGUAGGGAAUUUUGGUCAAUGGGGGAAACCCUGAACCAGCGACGCCGCGUGGGUGAUGAAGUCCUUCGGGAUGUAAAACCCUUUUUAUCGGGACGAAAGAAACAUGACGGUACCGGUAGAAUAAGCCACGGCUAACUCCGU
rnacentral:rRNA from 1 species